rnacentral:tRNA from 1 species
GCAGAUGUAGCCUAGCUGGUAAGACGCUGGCCUUGAGAGCCAGUGCGCGGGAGCGCUCGGGGGUUCGAGUCCCUCCAUCUGCG